GACGAACGCUGGCGGCGUGCCUAACACAUGCAAGUCGAACGAGAUCCAUGGGAGCUUGCUCCCGGAAGAUCUAGUGGCGAAACGGGUGAGUAACACGUGAGAAACCUGCCCUGGAGUGGGGAAUAACUCGGGGAAACUCGAGCUAAUACCGCAUACCCUCGGAUGGUCGCAUGGCCGACCGAGGAAAAGAUUUAUCGCUCUAGGAGGGUCUCGCGGCCUAUCAGCUAGUUGGUGGGGUAACGGCCUACCAAGGCAACGACGGGUAGCUGGUUUGAGAGAACGA
rnacentral:rRNA from 1 species